rnacentral:rRNA from 1 species
GACGAACCGUGCGAACGUUGUUCGGAUUCACUGGGCUUAAAGGGCGCGUAGGCGGGCGAUCAAGUCAGGGGUGAAAUCUUUCGGCUCAACCGGAAAAGGGCCUUUGAUACUGGUCGCCUCGAGGGAGGUAGGGGCAUGCGGAACUUCCGGUGGAGCGGUGAAAUGCGUAGAUAUCGGAAGGAACGCCGGUGGCGAAAGCGGCGUGCUGGACCUCUUCUGACGCUGAGGCGCGAAAGCCAGGGGAGCGAACGGG